UGACAGCAGGGCCAUCUCAAGAAAACACGGAAGGAAGAACAAAGGACAGAAAAACUUUAUAAUAGUGGGCCUUUGCAUCAACUGUCAGUCUGUGAGCCCCAGUAACCAUGAUGGGGAUUCUUGCCUGUAGAAGUCAGGAUCAAGUCUAUCACUGCUGGAAAAAGUAUGGAAAUUUGCAUUAUAGCUUUUUUAUCUACUAUGUACUGCAUAGGGGAAUAAACUUGUUGUUGUUGUGGUCUAUUG